rnacentral:rRNA from 1 species
ACAUCGGCGCGUCUACCUGCAGUCGACGGUCUCUUCGGAGAUAGUGGCGGACAGGUGAGUAACGCGUGAGAAUCUACCUUUAGGUUCGGGACAACAGUUGGAAACGACUGCUAAUACCGAAUGUGUCUCAAGAUGAAAGAUUAAUUGCCUGAAGUUGAGCUCGCGUCCGAUUAACUAGUUGGUGUGGUAAGAGCGCACCAAGGCGACGAUCGGUAGCUGGUCUGACAGGAUGAUCAGCCACACUGGGACUGAGACACGGCCCAGACUCCUACCGGAGGCAGCAAUGGGGAAUUUUCCGCAAUGGGCGAAAGCCUGACGGAACAACGCCGCGUGAGGGAGGAAGGCUCUUGGGUUGUAAACCUCUUUUAUCAAGGAAGAUAAUGACGGUACUUGAUGAAUCAGCAUCGGCUAACUCCGUGCCAGCAGCCGCGGUAAUACCGAGGAUGCAAGCGUUAUCCGGAAUAAUUGGGCGUAAAGCGUUCGUAGGUGGUUAUGUAAGUCUGCUGUUAAAGCGUGUAGCUCAACUACAUAUAGGCAGUGGAAACUACAUGACUAGAGUGCGUUCGGGGCAGACGGAAUUCCUGGUGUAGCGGUGAAAUGCCUAGAUAUCAGGAAGAACACCGGUGGCUAAUGCGCUCUGCUAGGCCGCAACUGACACUGAGGGACGAAAGCUAGGGGAGCGAAUGGGAUUAGAUACCCCAUUACUCCUAGCUGUAAACGAUGGAUACUAGGCGUUGUCUGUAUCGACCCGGACAGUGCCGUAGCUAACACGUUAAGUAUCCCGUCUGGGGAGUACGCACGCAAGUGUGAAACUCAAAGGAAUUGACGGGGGCCCGCACAAGCGGUGGAGUAUGUGGUUUAAUUCGAUGCAACGCGAAGAACCUUACCAAGGCUUGACAUGUCCGGAAUUUCUUGGAAACGAGAAAGUGCCUUCGGGAACCGGAACACAGGUGGUGCAUGGCUGUCGUCAGCUCGUGUCGUGAGAUGUUGGGUUAAGUCCCGCAACGAGCGCAACCCUCGUUUUUAGUUGCCAGCACUUAGGGUGGGCACUGUAGAGAGACUGCCGGUGACAAACCGGAGGAAGGUGGGGAUGACGUCAAGUCAUCAUGCCCCUUCCGUCUUGGGCUACACACGUAUUCCAAUGCUAUGGACAAAGAGCAGCCAACCAGCGAUGGUGCGCUAAUCUCAUAAACCAUGGAUCAGUUCAGAUCGCAGGCUGCAACUUGCCUGCGUGAAGUAGGAAUCGCUAGUAAUUGCAGGUCAGCAUACUGCAGUGAAUUCGUUCCCGGGCCUUGUACACACCGCCCGUCACACCAUGGAAGUUGCUCAUGCCCGAAGUCGUUACCAUAACCGUUCGCGGAGGGGAUGCCGAAGGGGACUGUAUUGGA